CUUACUAUGGAACAUCGUGAUCAUAUUAUUUGAGAGACUGGAGGCGGAGGCCAGUUGUAUUCCAAUAGCUGCGGCUUUUGGUGAUGCAGCUAAUGCUGGUACUCUAUCUCGCCCUUCCGGGUCCACGCUUAGUGGAAUGACGAUUUGAGGUGAUCUGAGCUCUGGGUCGGUGGGUCCAGUUAGAUGCUAGUUUUUUCCUUUCCCAGUUUAGCUCAUUAUUAAAGUGGAAAGCCAAUGACAUUGCCCCUGUCCGGGGAAGUAUGGAAAGCUAUGAUAUCAUAAAAAGCAUCAUAUGGAGGGCGCAUCAAGAAUCCGAAGCUUAAAAAAAUCGAGCAAUUAUAACAUGCUGGGACCACGGUCACAUGAAGAGUCGGUGAGUUGCAGCUAUAAAAAGCCUAUCAUCUAGUACAAGGGUUAUACAGUAACAAUAUAUGGACAAAGUUCCUUGGUCCGGUAAUCGAGGUUAAUUCAUCUUCCCGUCCUAAUAAUCACGACCCGUGAAAUGGGUCCGGCUGGUGCACAUGCCCUGUGGCUUGAAAUGGGCGCUGGAACUCUCUGCCGACCCGACCCAACCUAACCAGCCUGAAGGAAACCUAUCCUCCUACCCUAACCCUUAUGUACUGUAUCCUAGCAAGUAUAUGGCCUGCCGAAGCCAGUUUUCAGCCGCACCGCUAGCUAGCUGCACCCCAUUGACGAGAAGGUGAAAUGAUAGAGAUCAUACAGGUAAUGGGACCACCGCUUUUCUGGGAAAAAGGUCUCUUGGUUCAUGGCAGGUCACUUUGUCUAGCGGAAUGGAGGAGGAGGGGAUGGGCUUUUAUCUUCUAAACCCACUCCUUGAAAAGAUACCAUCAGUUAUGUACCCCCCCCCCCCCCCCCCCCCCCC